rnacentral:rRNA from 1 species
GACGAACGCUGGCGGCGUGCCUAAUACAUGCAAGUAGGACGCAGUUGCGAACGGGUGAGUAACGCGUAGGUAACUACCUAUUAGAGGGGGAUAACUAUUGGAAACGAUAGCUAAUACCGCAUACUAGUAGAUGGACCUGCGUUGUAUUAGCUAGUAGGUAGGGUAAUGGCCUACCUAGGCAACGAUACAUAGCCGACGUGGAAGGGAGGUCGGCCAAACUGGGAAUGGGGAAAGGGCCAGGCUGCUACGGGAGGGAGGAAGAGGGGAAUAGCGGAAAUGGGGGGAAAGCUGAACGAGGAACGGCGGGGGAGAGAAGGAGGUUUUCGGAUCGGAAAGCUCUGUUGUUAAGGAAGCGGUACUUAAACAAAAAGGGACGGCUAACUACGUGCCAGCAGCCGCGGUAAUUC